UACGGGGGGAGCAAGCGUUGUUCGGAUUUACUGGGCGUAAAGGGCGCGUAGGCGGUCAGCACAAGUCAAUUGUGAAAUCUCCGAGCUUAACUCGGAAAGGUCAACUGAAACUGUGCGACUAGAGUGCGGAAGGGGCAACUGGAAUUCUUGGUGUAGCGGUGAAAUGCGUAGAUAUCAAGAGGAACACCUGCGGCGAAGGCGGGUUGCUGGGCCGACACUGACGCUGAAGCGCGAAAGCUAGGGGAGCAAACGGG
rnacentral:rRNA from 1 species